rnacentral:rRNA from 1 species
UACGGAGGGUGCAAGCGUUAUCCGGAUUCACUGGGUUUAAAGGGAGCGUAGGUGGGUUUGUAAGUCAGUGGUGAAAUCUCCGUGCUUAACAUGGAAACUGCCAUUGAUACUAUAGGUCUUGAAUUAUCUGGAGAUUAGCGGAAUAUGUCAUGUAGCGGUGAAAUGCUUAGAUAUGACAUAGAACACCAAUUGCGAAGGCAGCUGGCUACAGGUAUAUUGACACUGAGGCUCGAAAGCGUGGGGAUCAAACAGG